rnacentral:rRNA from 1 species
GACGAACGCUGGCGGCACGCUUAACACAUGCAAGUCGAACGAGAGAAGAGGAGCUUGCUUUUCUGAUCUAGUGGCGGACGGGUGAGUAACACGUGAGCAAUCUGCCUUUCAGAGGGGGAUACCGAUUGGAAACGAUCGUUAAUACCGCAUAAUAUAAUUGAACCGCAUGAUUUGAUUAUCAAAGAUUUAUCGCUGAAAGAUGAGCUCGCGUCUGAUUAGCUAGUUGGUAAGGUAACGGCUUACCAAGGCGACGAUCAGUAGCCGGACUGAGAGGUUGAUCGGCCACAUUGGGACUGAGACACGGCCCAGACUCCUACGGGAGGCAGCAGUGGGGAAUAUUGCACAAUGGAGGAAACUCUGAUGCAGCGAUGCCGCGUGAGGGAAGAAGGUUUUAGGAUUGUAAACCUCUGUCUUCAGGGACGAAAAAAGACGGUACCUGAGGAGGAAGCUCCGGCUAACUACGUGCCAGCAGCCGCGGUAAUACGUAGGGAGCGAGCGUUGUCCGGAAUUACUGGGUGUAAAGGGAGCGUAGGCGGGAUCGCAAGUCAGAUGUGAAAACUAUGGGCUUAACCCAUAAACUGCAUUUGAAACUGUGGUUCUUGAGUGAAGUAGAGGUAAGCGGAAUUCCUAGUGUAGCGGUGAAAUGCGUAGAUAUUAGGAGGAACAUCAGUGGCGAAGGCGGCUUACUGGGCUUUAACUGACGCUGAGGCUCGAAAGCGUGGGGAGCAAACAGGAUUAGAUACCCUGGUAGUCCACGCCGUAAACGAUGAUUACUAGGUGUGGGGGGACUGACCCCUUCCGUGCCGCAGCAAACGCAAUAAGUAAUCCACCUGGGGAGUACGACCGCAAGGUUGAAACUCAAAGGAAUUGACGGGGGCCCGCACAAGCAGUGGAGUAUGUGGAUUAAUUCGAAGCAACGCGAAGAACCUUACCAGGUCUUGACAUCGUAUGCAUAGCUCAGAGAUGAGUGAAAUCUCUUCGGAGACAUAUAGACAGGUGGUGCAUGGUUGUCGUCAGCUCGUGUCGUGAGAUGUUGGGUUAAGUCCCGCAACGAGCGCAACCCUUACUGUUAGUUGCUACGCAAGAGCACUCUAGCAGGACUGCCGUUGACAAAACGGAGGAAGGUGGGGAUGACGUCAAAUCAUCAUGCCCCUUAUGACCUGGGCCUCACACGUACUACAAUGGCUGUCAACAGAGGGAAGCAAAGCCGCGAGGUGGAGCGAACCCCUAAAAGCAGUCUUAGUUCGGAUUGUAGGCUGCAACCCGCCUACAUGAAGUCGGAAUUGCUAGUAAUCGCAGAUCAGCAUGCUGCGGUGAAUACGUUCCCGGGCCUUGCACA